UUCCCUAUGCCGCCGCCACCACUUCCCCUACCCUCUCGGACGCCUCGUCUCUUCCACCUCCGCCUCCAUCACCUCCUCCCCUGCCUCCGCACCCGACCACGCGCUAUGGACGAGGACGAGGAGGCAACAGCUCGAGAGGCAGGCAAGAGGAAAACGGGAGGGAUCCCCUCCCGAGCCCCGCGCCUCCCCUCUUUCCCACUGCGCCGCCAGCCCCUUUCCCUCCCUUCGCCGCUGCUAUAGCUCCUCCCUGAACCCGCGGCGCGCCUUCUUCUCCGACCGUUGUUGCCCGCACUGCUACUGCCGCGGCCUGCUACUGCUCCCCCUCCUCCAGCUCCUCGCCCCAGCGGCGCUUCCUCCCCUCCUCUCAGGCAAGGCGUCUUGGGGUGUGGAGGCGGUGGGCCAGCAGCCAGUCAUUGCCCUGCAGCGGCAGCAGCAGGUCGGCUUCCCCGUUGUGGCGGCGACGCGUCUAGAGGAACCGGUUGCCCUUCUCCUGGAUGAGCGUCGGAGCCGAACAGCCGGAACUGACCAUUGAGGAGCUGGGGCAGCCGUGCCACAUAGGAGGUCGAGGUGGACCAGGAGAAGCUGCACGAGGCUCCAUCGCCUCCUUCUCAAAUUUGGUUUCUCUAUGCCUACAUGGUGUUUGAUGAAAAUCCAAGAAGGACGGGGAGGAUUGAUCUAUGCGGAUAAGAGAAGAAAACUAAAACAUGUUCACUAGAGUGGCCUGGGGUGGCCCGGGAGCUACGAGGAUGGGUUGAUGAGACUGGAUUGGCAGCCGACAGCGAGAGAGGAAGGGUGGUUGUUCCUGCGAUGAGGUGGUGAUGAUUGCCAUAGUGGAAUUUUGUAGGUACGACAGCGACGAGCUUUGAGGGCCCCCGGUAUGGUGGCAGCAUGAGCCUCGUGGAGUGUUUUUGUUUCCCCACUUAGACUACUGUUUUGAUUCUCAAGUGUGGAGAUGGAUGUGACUUACCAUGGAGGAAGUGGGUACAAUAUCCAUUUGAAAGAUGCAGCAGGGCCAAAAUAAGUUUCCGGUGCAAUUGGAGCUGCAAGCCAGAUUGGUUUAUACAGCAAUGGAGUGAUUUGUACCCUGCAAAAUGCAAAAACAGUCCGAGACAGAGCUCAGGCCGAGGAUUCUCCCUCGCUCGAGGAUUCCAGUAACUAUGAGUUCUAGGCGAAGAUGUACGUUUCCUACAGACAUUUUCAGUUUGACGAGAGCUUUGCCAUUCAUCUUGAAAAAGUAUGUUCCGUUCUGUCUAGGAUAGAGAACCAUGAUUAUCACCACUGUUGGAGGAAAAAGCUAGAGCAAUUGUGUUUCUACUUUCAUGCAUUGUGGUUUUCUAUUCUUGGAAGGAUAGAGUUUACAUAUUUCGUCUGCCUAAAUAGUGAAGAGCUAUAUGUCCUAUGCUCCUCUUGAUGACAUAUAUGAGGACUCACAACCUGAGCCUGGAAUAUCACUCCAAUUUUAAGUUGCCUGUUUUGCAUAAAGGUUGGAUAUAUGGUGACAUGGUAAAGCUGAUUUGGGAAAGCGGGUGUAGAGUGUGCAUAAGUUAAGAAAACAAUUUAUAAUCUGUGAUGUGAUCAUUGCAUUUUAAUUUAGUAUAUGUGAUCACCUCAAGUAGGGAAGUACUGAAUGCACCUCUCUGUCAAGUGCAUGUAUCAGGGUACCAUUUUUUACUCAACCGAUUUAACACAGGGCAUGAGACUGCCAUACACAGAUUUAUUGCAUUGUGUGAGGGGAAGGAGAAAUGUGGCAGCUCAUAUUUUAAAGUGAUGGCCGAGCUGAUAAUGCAGCCAUUAUUUGGGCAAGUAUUAAGACAGGAAUUGUGUGCAAUUUAAUGACUAUAUAUGGUUGGUGAAUCACUGUCCGUAUACUAGAUCAUGGUAAUGUAGGUGACUAAUAUUAGUAAAGUUUAAAUUGAUUACCCCUGGGACGAAGAUCUCCAUCUCCUUAUAGUGGGCGUGGUGGUUCAGUAGUGGGGGCCUGGGGCAGCUCUCUUCCACCAUGUAUGUUGAAUGCAUUUCAUCUGAAGCACAUAAGCGGCAUCUUCCUCCACGGUGCGCCCUCCACAACAAAUGAAGCACAUAAGCAGCAUCCCUAUAAAAACCAAUGCCUAAUCCAAUGACAUCAUUGCUCGAGAAACACUGCACCGAACCCAGCCCACGACAACAAACAACAAAUCUAAUAUCAAAGGAAACAAUACAAACCAGAUCGCACACAGGGCGGAGCGGCAAGCCUAGCAGACGGAUGACCAGAACAGCAGCGGCUGCAGAGCGGAGCAGCAUGCCUAGCAGACGGAUGACCAGAAUAGCAGUGGCGCAUAUCGCGUGGAGGGCAAAGCAGCGCCCAAGCAGCAGCCGCGGAGGUAGCACCGAGAGCCGGAACAACAGGACGGCGGGGAUCCUCCAACUAGAGCAAGGAACCGAGGCGUACCCAGCAUCCCCAAAUGGUCAAUCUCCACUGCUAACUGCUAGAGCUGCGUCGAGUAGAAGACAGGCUCACAAGGAAACCCAUACACACACGACACGCGGCUUGGACUAGCGGCCAGCUGGAGACUAAAGCUUGCUGAGAGGACGCGCGUGCACCGUGCAUGCAUCGAUG